CAGCAUCCCUGGUGGCAACCCCAUCACCCACUGCGGGCAACUCCAUUGGCCUCUCACUCACCAAAGUAAUCGGCCUUCGGAUGAGCAUCCAUCUCCUGCUCCAGACGCUGGGAAAAAGAAGAGGAAAACAAAAAAAAAGUCACAUCCUCUUUAACCAAACUCGGAAACGCACAAGGCAGCAGGCGCGGAAGGGUCCGGGGAGCAGCGGGUUUACCCAGAGCGGAGAGGCCGCCAGACGCGCGGCCGGAGGCGCAGGGGUGGACCUACAUCUCAGUCUGAGGGCUCUCCAAGCCUCCUCCCCCCACCCCCCUCCUGCACAGGCACUUUCUCCAAUAGACCUCCUGCACACCUGCCUCAUCUCCGCGAGGACUCAAUGGACACAGCUGGAACUGACGGGAGUGCCACAAACAGCUCCAGUGUUUAUUGCCUAGAGGCCAAGGUUGCAAGAUCCUCAGGCUCAGAGGUGAGGGGGAGCUCCCCACACCUGCCCAGGCCGAGCGACUGUGAACAGGAGCUUCAUGGGCUGGUGUCGGCUGCUUUGGCUUCCACUUUCCACAAGAGAAGGAGCAUCUUUUCCUGACGGGGGCUCGUCUCCAUGGCAGCCAGAUGUCCUGACGGGGAGGAAAAAGACCUAAUGGGACAAGUCUUUAGCUCAUUUGGAGCUUCACAAAAUUGUACAUUUUGAUGUUUUCCUCCCAUUACUGAAUUAGUACACGGCCAAAAAAAUUUGAAGAGGCCAAAAAGUAAACGGAGGGAAAAGAUAACUUGUAGGACUCAACUGGUGAUCUGUGGGAAAAUUUCCUUCUCUCUUUGUAAAGGUCAGAAUUAAAAAGUGAUGGUUGGAAUUGCA